CGUUCUUUCCAAUGGCCAUCUUGAGUGAUGAUGUUCAGUUGUAAGAUGCUGGGGAAUGUGUUGUUGCUCAUUCACCCUUUCUUUUCUUUGUUGCUUGUGACUGCUGCAUGCUUUGUGCUGGUGAACGUAUAACACUUGGAAUCCAGUGAAAUUAUUUGUUCCUAGAGGUGAUAUGCUCACAUUAGGUUGUACUCAGGAGAUUUUCUUGUUUCGUGAUCCCUAAACUCGUUUAGGGUUCAAAUUUUGAGUAUAUAGUACAUGAAUUGCUGACGCAUCAUAUCAUCUCAUGAUCAGUACUGCUUGCUGGAUACUAUCAUAAAUCUCUGUAUCUUGAUAUGAGACUGCUUAUUGCUAGGAGGUGCAUUUUGACAUGUGGAGGCACCGUAAAGGUAAAAUUGGGCGUUUACUAUUAUGAUCUCUGAAUUAAGGAGAAGUCAAGG